UACAGAGGGUGCAAGCGUUAAUCGGAAUUACUGGGCGUAAAGCGCGCGUAGGCGGCUGUCUAGGUCGGGUGUGAAAGCCCCGGGCUCAACCUGGGAACUGCAUUCGAUACUGGACGGCCAGAGUAUGAAAGAGGGAGGUAGAAUUCCACGUGUAGCGGUGAAAUGCGUAGAUAUGUGGAGGAAUACCGGUGGCGAAGGCGGUUCUCUGGGCAUUCCCUGACGCUGAGGAGCGAAAGUGUGGGGAGCGAACAGG
rnacentral:rRNA from 1 species